AUUGAACGCUGGCGGCAUGCUUUACACAUGCAAGUCGAACGGCAGCGCGGGCUUCGGCCUGGCGGCGAGUGGCGAAAGGGUGAGUAAUGCAUCGGAACGUGCCCAGUAGUGGGGGAUAGCCCGGCGAAAGCCGGAUUAAUACCGCAUACGACCUGAGGGUGCAAGCGGGGGACCGAAAGGCCUCGCGCUCUUGGAGCGGCCGAUGUCGGAUUAGCUAGUUGGUGGGGUAAAGGCUUACCAAGGCGACGAUCCGUAGCUGGUCUGAGAGGACGACCAGCCACACUGGGACUGAGACACGGCCCAGACUCCUACGGGAGGCAGCAGUGGGGAAUUUUGGACAAUGGGGGCAACCCUGAUCCAGCCAUGCCGCGUGCGGGAAGAAGGCCUUCGGGUUGUAAACCGCUUUUGUUCGGGAAGAAAUCCUCUGGGCUAAUACCCCGGGGGGAUGACGGUACCGGAAGAAUAAGCACCGGCUAACUACGUG
rnacentral:rRNA from 1 species